rnacentral:rRNA from 1 species
AGCGAACGCUGGCGGCAGGCCUAACACAUGCAAGUCGAACGGACCCUUCGGGGUUAGUGGCGGACGGGUGAGUAACACGUGGGAACGUGCCUUUAGGUUCGGAAUAGCUCCUGGAAACGGGUGGUAAUGCCGAAUGUGCCCUUCGGGGAAAGAUUUAUCGCCUUUAGAGCGGCCCGCGUCUGAUUAGCUAGUUGGUGGGGUAAUGGCCCACCAAGGCUACGAUCAGUAGCUGGUCUGAGAGGAUGACCAGCCACAUUGGGACUGAGACACGGCCCAAACUCCUACGGAGGCAGCAGUGGGGAAUCUUGCGCAAUGGGCGAAAGCCUGACGCAGCCAUGCCGCGUGUAUGAUGAAGGUCUUAGGAUUGUAAAAUACUUUCACCGGUGGAAGAUAAUGACUGUAGCCGGAGAAGAAGCCCCGGCUAACUUCGUGCCAGCAGCCG